ensembl:lncRNA SNHG14 small nucleolar RNA host gene 14
UGAGCUCUUCAGCCCAGGUGGGCUCCCUGACACUGAUGCGCAUAGAUGGUGAGCCUGGAGGAAGACUUGCAUUGGGCCCAAUGGACCCAGGCCAGUGGCCAUCAGCCAGGUGCCCACCCUGGUGUGCUGAAGCGCGGGACCUACCUGUUGUCCUGGUUUCCUACACUGAGCUGAGUGAGCUCUUCAACCCAGGCGGGGCACCCUGGCAUUCACCAGCAUAGACUGUGAAAUGGGAGGAAGAAUUGUGUUGGGCCCAAUGGCCCUGGGCCAGUAUCCGUCAGCCUGGUGUCCAGCCCCUGGUGUGCUGAAGCUCAUGCCCUUCCUGGUGCCCUAGUUUCCUGCACUGAGCUUGUGAGCUCUUUUGCCCAGAAGACUCCCUGGCAUUGAUCGGCAUAGAUGGCAGCGCUGGAGGAGGACUUGUACUGGGGCCGCUGGCCCCACAUCAGUGUCCGUCAUCCCGGCGUCCAGCCCCUGGUGUGCUGAAGCUCAGGCCCUUCCUUGUGCCCUAGUCUCCUGCACUGAGCUUGUGAGCUCUUCUGCUCAGGCGGGUCCCCUGGCAUUGACCAGCAUAGAUGGUGGCCCUGGAGGAGGACUUGUAUUGGGGCCACUGGCCCCACGUCAGUGUUCGUCAGCCUGGCAUCCAGCCCCUGGUGUGCUGAAGCUCAGGCCCUUCCUGUUGCCCUAGUCUCCUGCACUGAGCUUGUGAGCUCUUCUGCCCAGGUGGUCCCCCUGGUCUUGAUGGGCAUAGGGUUCGGUAGCAGGGAGGGCCAAGGGUCCCCCACGUCCAUGACAGGUCAGCGUUCCUCCUGGAUCCCAUCACAUGGGUACAUGCAGGGAGAGCAUGUGUGAGCCGGCACUCCCCACUCUCUUCCCCGCAUUGCAGGUGAGCUCUUCCGCCCAUUUGGGCCCUCUGACAUUGACCGGCAUAGAUGGUGAGCUCGGAGGAAGACUUGCAUUGGGCCCAAUGGAGCUGGGCCAGUUUCUGUCAGCCAGGUCCCCAGCUCCUGAUGCACUGAAGCUCAGGCCCUUCCUGGAGCCCUGGUCUCCUGCCCUGAGCUGUGAUGGUGAGCCUGAAGGAAGACUUGCAUCAGGACCAAUGGACCCUGGCAAGUGUCCGUCAGCCAGGUGCUCAGCCCCUGGUGCACUGAAGCUCAGGCCCUUCCUGGCCCCUUGAUCUCCUGCACUGAGCUGUGUGAGCUCUUCUGCCAAGGGGGGGCCUCCUGGCAUUGACCAACAUAGAUGGUGAGCCUGGAGGAAGAUUUGCAUUGGGCCCAAUGGCCCUGGGCCAGUGUCUGUCAGCCAGUUUCCCAGCCCCUGGUGCACUGAAGCUCAGGCCUUUCCUGGCAUCCUGGCCUCCUGCACUGAGCUGUGUGAGUGCUUCUGCCCAGGCAGGCCACUUGGCAUUGACCGGUAUAGAUGGUGAGCCUGGAGGAAGAUGUGUGGGACCCGCAGGCCGAGGGCCAGUGUCUCUCAGCCAGGUGCUCAGCCCCCAGUGGGCUGAAACUCUGACCCUUCCUGGCACCCUGCUCUCCUGCACUGUGCUGUGAUGGUGAGACUUCUGUUGGGCUUGCUUUUCCUGGGCCAGUGUCCAUCAGCCAGGUGCUCAGCCAUCGGUGCGCUGAAGCUCCAGCCCUUCCUGGUGCCCUGAUCUCCUGCACUGAGCUGUGAUGAUGAGCUCUUUCACCUAGGAGGGCCCCUUGGCAUUGACUGGCAUAGAUGGUGACCCUGAAGAAAGACUUCAGUUGGGCCUGAAGGCCCCGGGCCAGUGUCCAUCAUCCAGGUGCUCAGCUCCCAGUGCACUGAAGCUCAGACCCUUCCUGGUUCCCUGGUCUCUUGCACUGAGCUCUGAUGGUGAGACUUGAGGAAGACUUCCACUGGGCCUGCUUUUCCUGAGCCAGUGCCCAUCACCCAGGUGCUCAGUCCCUGGUGCACUGAAGCUCCAGCCCUUCCUGGCGCCCUGGUCUCCUGAACUGAGCUGUGUGAGCUCUUCUGCCAAGCGGUUCCCCUGGCAUUGACCAACAUAGAUGGUGAGCCUGGAGGAAGACUUGCGUUGGGCCCAAAGGCCCUAGACCAGUGUCUGUCAGCCAGGUUCCCAACCCCCGAUGCGCUGAAGCUCAAGCCUUUCCUGGCACCCUGGUCUCCUGCACUGAGCUGUGUGAGCUCUUCUGCCCAGGCGGGCCCCCUGGAAUUGAUGGGUAUAGAUGGUGACCCCGGAGGAAAAUUUGUGUUGGGCCCACUAUCCCUGGGCCAAUGUCAGUCAGCUAGGCACCCAGCCCCCAGUGCGCUGAAGCUCAGGACCUUCCUAGUGCCCUCGGCUCCUGCACUGAGCUCUGAUGGUAAGCCUGGAGGAAGACUUGUGUUGGGCCCACAGGCCCCAGGCCAAUGUCUGUCAGCCAGGUGCUCAGCCUCUGGUGCGCUGAAACUCUGACCCUUCCUGGCACACUGGUCUCCUGCACUGAGCUGGGAUUUUCCACCUAGGAGGUCCACCUGGCAUUGACUGACAUAGAUGGUGAGACUUCUGUCGGCCUCGCUUUUCCUGGGCCAGUGUCCAUCAGCCAGGUGCUCAGCCCCAGUGCACUGAAGCUCCAGCCCUUCCUGGCGCCCUGGACUGAGCUGUGUGAGCUCUUCUGCCAAGGGGGUCCUCCUGGCAUUGACCAACAUAGGUGGUGAGCCUGGAGGAAGACUUGCAUUGGGCCCAAUGGCCCUGGACCAGUGUCUGUCAGCCAGGUUCCCAGCCCCCGAUGCGCUGAAGCUCAAGCCUUUCCUGGCACCCUGGUCUCCUGCACUGAGCUGUGUGAGCUCUUCGGCCCAAGUGGUCCCCCCGGCCUUAAGCGGCAUAGGGAGCGAUGGUUUCUCAGGAGGGCCACUUCCUUCGGAAUCUGACCCAUGGAGCACGCCUUUCCUGAAGCCCUGCAGAGGUGACAGUGGUCCAGGCAGGAAGGGGUUCCUUCAGCCCCAAUGUAGGGCAGCUCCCAGCUGAAACUUGGUGGACAGAUCAGGCCUGGAGUACUGCCCAGGGCAUAUGGGGAGGAGGGACACAGGGAAUGUGGCGCACCCUAGAGGUCACACUGGAGUUCUGUCUCCCUGGAGAGGGGUGAGUGAUUGGGCCCACAUGGUCAGGCUGUGGAGAUUCAAGGAAUGCUCCACACCGAUGGCCUUGAAUGGGACCAACCCUAUUGAGCAAUGGGCCAUCUUAGUGGCACCUCCUUGAACCUGGUGGGGGAUGGCACUCUUUCAAUGAGGUUGGGUCAAGGCUGAGCUCUGGCUGGCACCCAGUGGUGCUGCAGGCUGGCCCUGGGACUUGUGGGCUUUGGGCCAAGGGGGAAGCUUCCAUCCUGCUGGGAACAACCCUUCCUUGAGGUCCAGUGGCAGGAAGGGGGGCUUCCUGAGGUGGAAAGCCCUACUGUUGAGGGACCUGUCCUGGGAAUUUGCUGUCCAAGCUGCUUCUGAGCCAUGGGGUCACCUCUAGGGUGGUGGGGUCUUGAGCCCAAGGAAAGGAGAGGACACCAUGUGGUUCCUGAUUGGCUGAGUGUGGCCCGGCUCUGUGUGUCGGAGUUGUGCAGGGUAUGGAUUGGGACCCACCAGUGAAAGCACAUGGCCCUGGAGGUCCGCAGGCUUGGAGAGGGCACCAGAUCUGGCACCCACCAUGCCCAGAUGGUGAGCCUGGAGGAAGACUCGUGUUGGGCCCACAGGCCCCAGGCCAGUGUACGUCAGCCAGGUGCUCAGCCCAUGGUGUGCUGAAGCUCUGACCCUUCCUGACUCCGUGGUCUCCUGCACUGAGCUGUGAUGACCAUAUCCAGUGAGCUCUUCCAAACAGGUGGGCUCCCUAGCAUUGACCGACAGAGUGAGCUCUGCCACCCAGGACAUCCCCCUGGCAUUGACUGGCAUAGAUGCUGACCCUGGAGGAAGACUUGUGUCGGGCCCCCAGGCCCCAGGCCAGUGUCCAUCAGCCAGGUGCUCAGCUCCCAGUGCGCUGAAGCUCAGACCCUUCCUGGCACCCUGGUGUCCAGCACUGAGCUGUGUGAGCUUUUCCACCCAGGUGGGCCCCCUGGCAUUGACCGACAUAGAUGAUGAGACUGGAGGAAGACUUCCAUUGGGCCCACUUUUCCUGGGCCAGUGUCCAUCAGCCAGGUGCUCAGCCCCUGGUGUACUGAAGCUCCAGCCUUUCCUGGUGCCCCAGUCUUCUGCACUAAGCUGUGUGAGCUCUUCCACCCAGGAGGGCCCCUUGGCAUUGACUGGCAUAGAUGGUGAGACGGGAGGAAGACUUGUGUUGGGCCUGCUGUUCCUGGGCCAGUGGCCAUCAGCCUGUUGCCCAGCCCCUGAGGCGCUGAAGCUCAGGCCCUUCCUCACACCCUGGUCUCCUGCACUAGCUGUGUGAGCUCUUCUGCCCAGGUGGGGCCCAUGGCCUUACACGACAUAGGAGCACGCAUUUCUUGAAGUCCUGCAAAGGUGAUGGUGGUCCAGACAGGAGAGGGUUCCUUCAGCCCAACAUAGCGCAGCUCCCAGCUGAAACUCGGAAGGCUGGUCAGGCCUCGAGGACUGCCCAGGCCACAUGAGGGUUUGGUGGCCGGGAGGGCCAAUGAUGCUCUGCGUCUGUGUUGGAUCAGUGUUCUUCAUGGAUUCCAUCACAUGGUGAGCCUUGAGGAAGACUUGUAUUGGGCCCCCACAGGCCCCAGGCCAGUGUCCGUCAGCCUGGUGCUCACCCCCAGUGUGCUGAAGCUCAGACCCUCCGUGGCACCCUGGUCUCCUGCACUGAGCUGUGUGAACUUUUCCUCCCAGAUGGGCCCCCUGGCAUUGACUGGCAUAGAUGGUGAGACCGGAGGAAGACUUGCAUUGGGCCUGUUGUUCCUGGGCCAGUGGCCAUCAGCCUGUUGCCCAGCCCCUGAUGCGCUGAAGCUCGGGCCCUUCCUCGCGCCCUGGUCUCCUGCACUGAGCUGUGUGAGCUCUUCUGCCCAGGUGAGGCCCAUGGCCUUAAGCGGCAUAGAUGGUGAGCCUGGAGGAAGACUUGUAUUGGGACCCUACAGGCCCCAGGCCAGUGUCUGUCAGCCUGGUGCUCAUCCCCCAGUGCGCUGAAGCUCAGACCCUCCCUGGCACCCUGGUCUCCUGCACUGAGCUGUGAUGGUGAGUCUGGAGGAAGACUUGUGUUGGACCCCCACAGGCCCCAGGCCAGUGUCCAUCAGCCUGGUGCUAAUCCCCCAGUGCUCUGGAGUUUGGACCCUCCCUGGCACCCUGGUCUCCUGCACUGAGCUGUGUGAGCUCUUCCACCCGGGCGGGCCCCCGGCAUUGACUGGCAUAGGUGGUGAGCCCGGAGGAGGACUUGCGUUCGGCCCGCUGGUCCCAGUGUGUCCGGAAUUGGUGGGUUCUUGGUCUCACUGACUUCAAGAAUGAAGCUGCGGACCCUCGCUAUGAUGAUAUGGAAGAAAAGCACUCUUUGGCCUGUUGUGACUGGGACAGUUGACAGCACCCAGGUGUCCUUUAAUGAAAAUGCUCUUGACACCAAUGCAUCCUAGCAUCACAGCUUCAGGAAGCCUUCUCAAGUGUGCAUGGGGAGUACUAUGUCUUUCAUCAAUAAUGAAAUCUUCUGAUUUGUAAGACAUGCUGCCAAGAGAUGUGCCAUUCUAUUAUAAAAGAUCAGUAGCUUCCUUUACCGACGUGUAUAUUCUAUCUAGAACAUUGAGCUAUGGAAGACUCCCACCUAAGGGAAUUAGUUUUACACCUUCAGAUAAAGACUGCUGAGAAGAGCACCCUCUGGUGUUGUCACAGAGGCAAGUGCUACCGCACAGGCAUGCUGCAGUGAAUUUAACUGAUCCUCUGUCCCUGCAACCGUUGUUUAAGGAUGCUAUUCUGAAAAGACUGUGGAGGAAGAAAACCCUUUACCCUGUUGUUCAGGGAGAAACUGACACCACUCAACUGCCUGGCACUGAAAAUGUGGCAUCCAGUCCACUUUACCAUCAGUGUUUAAGGAAACCAUCUCUGAUAAGGAUGACUGAGGAAGAGUACUCUUUGGCUUGUUGACACCAGCACAGCUGACACACCCAGAUAUCUGUUUGGUCUCCUGUGAACUUUCAACCAGGAUUUAAGGAUGCCACUCUGGUUAAAAGCUGAAACAACUUCAAGGAAACUUCAGGGAAAAGAGAAGGCCUGGAAUCUGAUCCUCCACUUCAGAGAACAGGGGUGGUGGAGUCUAUGGCCCUUCUCCUUGAAUCUGAGUGAAAUUAGUGAGUCUUUCAAUCCAAAGACUACAGUCAUACCUCAACUAUCUACAGAGGACUGGUUCCAGGACUCCCAUGGAUCCCAAAAUCCAAGGAUGCUUCGAAUCCCUUAUAUAAAAUGGCAUGGUAUUUGCAUAUAACCUACAUGCAUCUUCAAAUAUGUUAAACCAUCUCUAGAUUACUUAUAAUACCAAAUACAAUGUAAUGCUAUGUAAACAGUUGUUACAAUGUAUUGUCAAAGACAAGCUCUCCUUGCCAAUCCCUGACCAAAUGAGAGAUUCAUGAGCAAAAUAAAUAGUUGCUGAUAUUUAAGGCACUAAGUUUGGGGCAAUGUAUUACACAGCAAUAAAUAACUGGAACAGCAUAGUAAAUUCUAGUUAAAAAUACUAAACUACUAAGUUUUAGUUAACAUACAUGCUCAAGUUAAGGGUGUGGUAUACUAACAACUGCAACUUACUUUGAAAAGCAUAAAAAAAGACACUAGAAGAAGACAGGAUGGAUAGAUGGACAAGAUAGAAGACAAUAACAAAUAGAACAAAAUGUUGUGAAAUUAUAUUCUACAAUUAUUUUAAAGUCUGUGUGGUUUGAAAAAUUGUACGAUAAAAUGAAGAGUGAAAUAAAGACAUUUCCAUACAAACAAAAGCUGAAAGAUUUUGUAGCCAGUAGACCUAUACUUUAGAAAUGUUUAAGAAAUUUUUUCAAGUAAAAGGAAAAUAACACCAGCAACAAACUUGGAUCUACAAAAAGGAAUCUCCACAAAGAAAAAUAAAUAAAAAUGGUAAAUAUGAAGGUAAAUAUAAAGGAAUGUUAUUCUUAGUUUUUAAGUUUCUUCGUAAGACAACUGGCCUUUGAAAGAAAUAGUUUCAAACGCUGCUGUGGAAUCUAUAACACAUAUAGAAGUAAAAUGUUAAGAUCAUAAUACCAAAAAGAAUGAGGGAGAGUAAAUGGAUGUAUACUAUUCCAAAAUUCUUACAUUAUACAUUAAGAGGAAUAAUAUUUUUGAAGGUAGAUUGAGGUAAGUUAAAGGUGCAUAUUGUAAAUCCUAGAAGUAUCACUGGGGGGAAAAAAAACAGAGGGACAAGCUAAUAAUGGAGACAAUACAAAAUUCCAAAAAUGCUCCAUUAACCGAAAAGAAGGCAGAAAAGGAAGAAAAGAUUAGACAAAUAGAAAACAAAUAGUGUCUUAAACACAAUUAUAUUGCCAACUGCAAUAAAUGUAAAUGGACUUAAUCAAAAAGCAACGAUCGUAAAAAGUCAAUCUGAAAGCAAGAUGCAACUAUAUGCUAUCUAAAAGAAAGACAUUAAAUGACCAAUAAGCUGAAAAUAAAAACACAGCAAAAUGAUAUAAUGUGCAAAAAUUAAUCAUAAGAAAGGAAUGGAUACACUAAUAUCAAAGUAGACUUUAGAUAAGGAACAUUACCAGCGAUAAACAGAGACAUUUCAUAAUGAUAAAGACAUCAAUUAAUCAAGGAGAUCUAACAGUCCUAAAUGUGAACACACCUAAGGACACAA